CACGCCUAUGCCUGGAUGUGUUACACCAUCACCACUGACAAACAUAAUAGUUUCUGUGUUGCUUGAACUAGGCAUUUGUGAUAAAAAAAAAUGUACAACAGUAUAACUAGAGUACAGUUGGUCCUCGUUUUUAUGUACUUACGACCAGCUCUCUCAUGGGGUGGUAAGUGCGAGCCAUUGUAGGAAUUAAAGGGAUUCCCUGUUCUUUUCCCCCGAACAUAGACAUGCGCACCAGAGCAGG